rnacentral:rRNA from 1 species
UGCAGUCGACGAUGAACCGCUUUCGGGCGGGGAUUAGUGGCGAACGGGUGAGUAACACGUGGGCAAUCUGCCCUGCACUCUGGGACAAGCCCUGGAAACGGGGUCUAAUACCGGAUAUGACUGUCCAUCGCAUGGUGGAUGGUGUAAAGCUCCGGCGGUGCAGGAUGAGCCCGCGGCCUAUCAGCUUGUUGGUGAGGUAGUGGCUCACCAAGGCGACGACGGGUAGCCGGCCUGAGAGGGCGACCGGCCACACUGGGACUGAGACACGGCCCAGACUCCUACGGGAGGCAGCAGUGGGGAAUAUUGCACAAUGGGCGAAAGCCUGAUGCAGCGACGCCGCGUGAGGGAUGACGGCCUUCGGGUUGUAAACCUCUUUCAGCAGGGAAGAAGCGAAAGUGACGGUACCUGCAGAAGAAGCGCCGGCUAACUACGUGCCAGCAGCCGCGGUAAUACGUAGGGCGCAAGCGUUGUCCGGAAUUAUUGGGCGUAAAGAGCUCGUAGGCGGCUUGUCACGUCGGUUGUGAAAGCCCGGGGCUUAACCCCGGGUCUGCAGUCGAUACGGGCAGGCUAGAGUUCGGUAGGGGAGAUCGGAAUUCCUGGUGUAGCGGUGAAAUGCGCAGAUAUCAGGAGGAACACCGGUGGCGAAGGCGGAUCUCUGGGCCGAUACUGACGCUGAGGAGCGAAAGCGUGGGGAGCGAACAGGAUUAGAUACCCUGGUAGUCCACGCCGUAAACGGUGGGCACUAGGUGUGGGCAACAUUCCACGUUGUCCGUGCCGCAGCUAACGCAUUAAGUGCCCCGCCUGGGGAGUACGGCCGCAAGGCUAAAACUCAAGGAAUUGACGGGGGCCCGCACAAGCGGCGGAGCAUGUGGCUUAAUUCGACGCAACGCGAAGAACCUUACCAAA